rnacentral:rRNA from 1 species
AUUGAACGCUGGCGGCAUGCUUUACACAUGCAAGUCGAACGGUAACAGGCCUUCGGGUGCUGACGAGUGGCGAACGGGUGAGUAAUGCAUCGGAACGUACCCAGAGGUGGGGGAUAACGCAGAGAAAGCUGUGCUAAUACCGCAUGUGAUCUGAGGAUGAAAGCGCGGGACCGAGCAGCAAUGUUUGGCCUCGCGCCUUUGGAGCGGCCGAUGUCGGAUUAGCUAGUGGGUGGGGUAAAGGCCUACCAAGGCGACGAUCCUUAGCUGGUCUGAGAGGACGACCAGCCACACUGCGACUGAGACACGGCCCAGACUCCUACGGGAGGCAGCGGUGGGGAAUUUUGGACAAUGGGCGCAAGCCUAAUCCAGCAAUGCCGCGUGCGGGAAGAAGGCCUUCGGGUUGUAAACCGCUUUUGGCAGGAACGAAACGGUGUCCGCUAAUACCGGGCGCUAAUGACGGUACCUGCAGAAUAAGCACCGGCUAACUACGUG